AUCGAACGCUGGCGGCAGGCCUAACACAUGCAAGUCGAACGAGUGGCGGACGGGUGAGUAAUGUCUGGGAAACUGCCUGAUGGAGGGGGAUAACUACUGGAAACGGUAGCUAAUACCGCAUAACAUCAGAUGUGCCCAGAUGGGAUUAGCUUGGUGGUGGGGUAACGGCUCACCAAGGAGAAGAUCCCUAGCUGGUCUGAGAGGAUGACCAGCCACCCUGGAACGGGGACGCGGUCAAUACUCCUACGGGAGGGAGCAGUGGGGAAUGGUGCACAAUGGGCGCAAGCCUGAUGCAGCCGUGCCGCGUGUAUGAAGAAGUCCUUCGGGUUGUAAAGUACUUUCAGCGGGGAGACGGUACCCGCAGAAGAAGCACCGGCUAACUCCGUGCCAGCAGCCGCGGUAAUUC
rnacentral:rRNA from 1 species